rnacentral:rRNA from 1 species
AUGCCCAGUUCGAGCUUCUCCUUCCUUUUUUUUUCCUCAGAUCGGAAAGAGCGGCGUGAUGCAAGCAUUAGCAAAGGAACUUUGCUCCCAUCUAAUCUGUUUGGGCUGUGUAAAGGGAAGAGAAGGGACGAGAGCAAUGACUGGUUGGGUUGUGUUAAGGGAAGGGAAGAGGGUAAUGACAAGGAGCAGCUGCAAGGGCAUACUGGGAGAGGAGGGUCGACCCCGACGCCAUGGAAGGUAAGAUUGGAUAGCGUGCUUCUUGGUGUUGCCCAUCACAAUCAGCCACAACAUGAUAGUUGCCAUCAAGAGCGUCAACAGCAAGAGCCUGUAUAA